rnacentral:rRNA from 1 species
GUACGAAGGGGGAGCUAGCGUUGCUCGGAAUUACUGGGCGUAAAGGGCGCGUAGGCGGCACUGUUAGUCAGGCGUGAAAGUCCUGGGCUCAACCUGGGAACUGCGCUUGAUACGGCAGAGCUAGAGGAUGGAAGAGGCUCGCGGAAUUCCCAGUGUAGAGGUGAAAUUCGUAGAUAUUGGGAAGAACACCGGUGGCGAAGGCGGCGAGCUGGUCCAUUACUGACGGCUGAGGCGCGACAGCGUGGGGAGCAAACAGG